AUUGAACGCUGGCGGCAGGCCUAACACACGCAAGUCGAGCGGAUGAAGGGAGCUUGCUCCUGGAUUCAGCGGCGGACGGGUGAGUAAUGCCUAGGAAUCUGCCUGGUAGUGGGGGAUAACGUCCGGAAACGGGCGCUAAUACCGCAUACGUCCUGAGGGAGAAAGUGGGGGAUCUUCGGACCUCACGCUAUCAGAUGAGCCUAGGUCGGAUUAGCUAGUUGGUGGGGUAAAGGCCUACCAAGGCGACGAUCCGUAACUGGUCUGAGAGGAUGAUCAGUCACACUGGAACUGAGACACGGUUCAGACUCCUACGGGAGGCAGCAGUGGGGAAUAUUGGACAAUGGGCGAAAGCCUGAUCCAGCCAUGCCGCGUGUGUGAAGAAGGUCUUCGGAUUGUAAAGCACUUUAAGUUGGGAGGAAGGGCAGUAAGUUAAUACCUUGCUGUUUUGACGUUACCAACAGAAUAAGCACCGGCUAACUUCGUG
rnacentral:rRNA from 1 species